UCCCAGGCCACAGCAGAGAGCUGGAUCGGAAGUGGAGCAGGCGGGACUCCAACCAGCACCCAUUUGGGAUGCCAGCACUCCAGGCAGUGGCUUUACUCACUACGCCACAGCGCUGGCCCCAUCCCAGCCAUUUUUAACCCUUCAUUUCCGUGGUGCUAAGCACAUUCACACUGCUGUAAAACAGACCUCCCAAACAUUCCAAAUCUGAAACUCUCAAUCCAGAAACAGUAACUCCUCCUUCUCUGCCCCUCACCGCCAGCCCCAGGCUCCUCCACGCUGCCGUCCGCCUCCGUUUCGCAAUCCCACCGGCAGCGCACGCGGGCUCCGUCUGCCCCACGUCUUGGACAUGCUGGCUGCUCUCUGGGUUCUUCCCAGUAGCAGCCCCACGGCGGUGGAAGCUGUUCGUGUGCAGUUCACUGGUGACCAGAGAUCCAGCAUGUUCCCACGUGUGCGCCGCCUUUUACAGAGUACCUUUGGAAAAACACCAACUCAAGCCCAUCAUAAUUAGGUUAUUUGACUUUUUGCAUCGAACAGAUCAUCGCACAGAGGUGGUUUCCCGGCUACGCCACACAGAUUCAGCAGGUGACUCUGAGCUCCGCAUGCAGCUCCUACGAAGCGCGAUGCAGGCAACAAACAGUUCCAGACGCCUUCUUGGCCAGCUCUCCCAAAAGCACUGGGUUGUAAAUACGCAGAAAGCCAGGCCUCCGCCUUCUAGGAGCCGACCAACAAGUCAGCAGAAAGGACAGUCUCCUUGCUGAAGGGCCCAGAAAAGGCACGCAGUGUAGAUGUGGUAUGGAGCUGGAGGCAUCGAAGUCCUGAAAUCUCUCACCCACUUUAGAAGCAGAGCUUCCCCCACGACUCCAUUGUCAUCAGUCUCUCCCCGAGGUCACUCUGAUCUUCUGAGACCGGAAGUCAGCACCACACCCAAGCAGACCUGUCACAGACGGGCACUGGCUCUCCACCCCAUGACCACACCCACUUUUCUAUCAUGUUCGUUUUCCCACAAGCACCCUCCGUCUCCCCAGAAGUGCUGCUGACUCUUGCCUGUCCCUGUGAAGAUGACAAAUAAACCCCAGAAUUCUUGUUA